rnacentral:ncRNA from 1 species
CGCGGAUCAGAAUGCCGCGGUGAAUACGUUCCCGGGCCUUGUACACACCGCCCGUCACACCAUGGGAGUGGGUUGCAAAAGAAGUAGGUAGCUUAACCUUCGGGAGGGCGCUUACCACUUUGUGAUUCAUGACUGGGGUGAAGUCGUAACAAGGUAACCGUAGGGGAACCUGCGGUUGGAUCACCUCCUUA